rnacentral:rRNA from 1 species
ACGUAGGUACCGAGCGUUAUCCGGAUUUACUGGGCGUAAAGCGCGUUCAGGCGGUUUGGCAAGUCGGGCAUGAAAUCUCUCGGCUCAACCGGGAGAGGUUGUCCGAUACUUCCAGACUUGAGGGCAGUAGAGGGUGGUGGAAUUCCGGGUGUAGUGGUGAAAUGCGUAGAUAUCCGGAGGAACACCAGUGGCGAAAGCGGCCACCUGGACCGACACUGACGCUGAGGAGCGAAAGCCAGGGGAGCAAACGGGA